CUUCGACCGACCCACAAAAGUUAGUCCGUCCGCCCGGGAGUUCCCGACGGAAAUAAAAGGCAAGCGCGGCGGCGGGUGCGGGCGGCGGCUCGGUGACCCCCCGGCGGGCGCCUCCUCCGCGUCUCCGGGACCCCGCCCGAGGAUCGCCACGCCGAGAGGGGCUGAGAGGGGCCCGGGUCGUCGCGGAGCUGGAGACCAAGUGUCCUAAGUGUCCUCUCGCCCAUCCCGAAACUUUUCCUGGAUCCUAGAAAGAGUGAGAGAGGGAGACCAGGACCAUAAGAAAUCGCGUAGCAUACGUUUACCUGCCUCCUCUGCUGCCUGAACCCCUCCCCAUUUUCCUACUGCCUUUCUGUUCAUAUUAUUAUUAUUAUUAUUAUUAUUAUUAUUAUUAUUAUUAUAAAGUCACAGCCUCAACUGUUAGAGUUGAAUCACUUUCUCCAACACCGGGCCGUCACAGCCUGACUUACUCAUUAGAGUCUUCCUAGGGAAAGAUUAAAACCACCUGCGCCUGCUUCCUCUCUUUAGACUGACCCUCGGGGGUCUCCAAGCCAAGAGCUCAGACACCUCGCCCUCAAAACCCCGGAGCUGGCGGGGUCCCUCCCCUGAAGAAACCACCACUUCCUAGCCAGCAAUUUGGGGAACCUCAUCUUUUCGCAUUUAUCUUCCUCCUUUCCUCCCUCCUUUCCUUUUCUCCUUCCUUCUUGCUUCCUUCUUUCCUUCCUCCCGCCCACGCCCUCCCAGCCUCUCUUCCUUCUCUUCUUUCCCUUCCUUUUCAUUUUCCUGCCUUUCCCCACCUUCCUCCAGCCCCCCCCCAUAAACUGUCCUGAAAGCUUGUUGAUUGAGAAGAUCCACCUGUUUUUACUAGAAUCGUACAGUUAGAGUUUUAAAACUGCUAAAAACACAAGAUUCGGAUUUAUGGCAUCUGUAGAAGAAAUGAUCAAUGCCAGGUCACUGAGACAUCCUGUUCUUCCCUCCAGAGUUUGCAAAGUGUUUAUCAAACGCCUGCCAUGGGUCCCAUAACAUGUCAGACUCCUUCAGCGGACUGAAGCAUAAAUCUAGGUUUUGCUGAGAGGGUCAGUGAUAAGGCUGCCAAACAAUGCUGAACUGUACCCAACCUGCCCUCAGCUACCGUAGAACCUACCCAGUGGUGGGAAGAAAUACACCGAUUACUUAGAAACUCCAGUGUGUACUGUGAGAUGCCUGUUUUGGAAACAAAGAGCACAGUUCAAAAAUGUUUUAAAACAAAAGGUCCUCAUUUGAAAGGUGUCUACCUCAGUGGAUGAGGGUAGGUCAGGAAAACAACCUUUCAAGUGAGGGAAUGUUCUUUUGUUUGCUAACUUUUAGCCAAAAUUUAGACUUCGAAAUUUAUCUGACUUCAAGGCUCCGGCUUUUCAAAAGACACUGUUCCUACAAUUGGGCUUGAAAAUCAUUUUCAGCUAUAAAGCAUAGAGCAAACACAGCUGGACACGUGGAAUCUAUGCCACAGGAGGCUGCAGCUCCUCCAUGCAGAGCACAGAAGAGCAGAACUCUGGACUAAGAAGCUGUUUCUGGGAGUAAACAAGACCAACGAGAGUGGAGCCCAACAGCUCUUUAUUCUUUGUUAAAAGCGCCAAGAAAUGAGAAUGAUUGUGCUGGAGGAGUGGACCAAAUGAUACUACUCAAAAAAGGAAAGUCAAGGUCAGAUGGGGUUUGAGUAUGGAAAGGCAUAGUUGUUUCAAUGUCCACAAGAACUCUACAGUUAUGAACCGCGAGGCUGUCGAGAGUCCUGUAUUUACUGCAUAUUUGCUGAGAUUUUGAGUACAUAAACUUUCCAUUUUUCAUGAUAGAUUUGGAACUCAAGCACGGUAGGCAAGAGUUUUACUGUCCUUAUGAAGUCUCAAAGUGCCUCUAUAAUUUAGAUAUACGCAAAUCAGCAUUUUGGUGUGCAGGUUUCAGCUGCUUCUGCAGAAUCUCAUUUUAGGUGGAUUUGAGCUGAAAUUACAAACAAGUUCUUCUAAUUUGGAAUGGCAAAAUAAAAAUUAAAGAAAAUAUUUGAUUCGGGAAAAAAGAAGGAAAAUAGAAUUGCCUACAGAUGAAAUCAGAGUGGACUGGGUCUUCAUGGAGGCUUCACUGGGAGGUGAGACUUGAAAGGAUUUUUGCCCCAGAUGGGACACUGUAGCCGGUGGGAGGCUGGGAGGGGAACCACGGGGCUCUAUCUUGAGGUCACCUUCCCCGCCCCUAGCAAUUUACCUGUGGCACAGAAUGAAUACCAAUGGGCUACCUGUGCAUCCCUAAUGCCCCUUAGGCACCACCCCAAACCUAAGCUACACAUAUGCCCCCACUCCACAUGUCUGGUGGAGAGAAUGCCAGACCCCCUGGCGGGUCAUGAAGUCUCUCCACAUUCUUAAAAUAAAGGCCGUUUUUAUUUCAAACUUUUUAGCUUUUUGGCCACACCGAAAAUUCUAUCAGGUGGUUCCCUUCCAUGCCAAAAAUUCUGUCAAGACUGAAAAUUUAUUCCUUGAAAUUUAUUGUCAUUUGGGAAGAAGUUAGAGGAUGGACACUUCAGGUAAAAGAAGAGAAGACCAGGUGAAGACACAUUGGAUUGGAGAAGUAUGGGGAAAAUCCUAAGAAGUUUGGGUAAAAUCAGAUAUUGAAGGAAUUUGCAAUGACAGGACGAUCUAGAACUUGAUUCUGGGGGUAUUAGAAGUAAAGAAGCCCUUCAAGUAGGAGGUAGCAUGCAAUAUUCCAUCGAGGUCAUUUCUGAGAUAGAUUUAUAAGGAUAGAUGCGGCAAAUGGGCCACUCAGUCUCCUGAAGUUUGAAGAGUUGCUAUUUUACUAAAAGAGGACUGAAUCUAAUGAAAUAUUCUGAUUUUAAAAAGGCAUAAUGAACGUACAAAAUAAGAAAUCCUAGGACAUUUUAAAGGAGAGAUUUGAGGAAGUAAACACAGAAAAGGAAAGAAUAGAGUGAUUUGGGGGAUUUUUCUGGUUACCACCAGAAAGCAAUGAUCUGAAUAGAGGACCAAAUGGUAGACUGAGGCUCAGACUUAGGGUGCCCAGUGGAGUAGAGUAGAGUUAAAAAGUAUGAGGAGCCUACCAGAAAAUGGAAAAGCUGAGAAAAUCAUAGACAGGUAGUAAAAUGCAUAGUUGAACAAUAUUGCUUUGAAAUAUCCACGUUAAAUCUCACUAUAAAAGGAAAUUGCCCACAGCCCUGCAGAGUGCCAGACCCCAGAGGGCUCUGGGCAGAAUUGCCUUAGCUUCUGAACUGUACACCUGGAAGUGUUUUUAAAGGAGACUAGGAAGACAGCAUGUCUGCUCUGCUACUGCCCUUUAUUCUCUAGGCAUUUAUUUUCAACUAAACAGAUACUUAGGUGUUUAAAAGAUGGCGGAUUUAUAAAUGUAGGUUUGAAAAAUGAGAAAACAGUUCUGGGAUUCACGAAUACCAAAAUGAUUUUUAAAUUAAUUGCUGCUUGGUUUAUGAGUACAUUAAACACUUAAAAAAGAAAGAAAAUAUUACCAAGUGUCAAUUAGCACGCAUCUAAAAUGGGUGUUUGCUGUUAUAUGUAUUGUGAUAUGUAAGAAACUCUUUAUGAGGCCAUGGAAAUAUUCAGUCACCUUGAUCCAUGAAAUAAUUGUAAGCAACAUGAACUUUCUGGAUCAGACCAUGUAGGAUGAUUUAGUAAUUAUUAACUUCAGUAGCUUCCUGUUUUGAGUGAAGUUUGUUGGGCACAAACUGUAAUAAUUUGUAAAGAAAAAAUGAUAUGGGAGACACUACAGUUUCCUAUAUAUGGAGCCACCCAAAAGUGUAAGUUUGUUUUUACAUUAGAAACUCAGAAUAUCUAAACUGUUAAAGGAAAUAUUGUUCUUUCAUGCAACAACCAUUUUUACUGGAAACCUAACUUUUAAACAAAAAAUUUAGAGUAAGAAAAUUGAUAUUCUAUAUAAGUUUAUAAUGUUUCCACUGCUUAAAUUGUAAAUAAAAUUCUGUACUACUUACAUACAAUUUUCAGUUUAGAAAAAUCAAUUUCUAAACCUGACUGUCCAUCAGAGUGCUUCAAGGAUUUUUAUUUUAAGGAAAGUCUUAGCUCCACUCAAAAUGUCAGGAAAAAUAUCCUCAGUCUGGGAAUAUUUAUGUUACAAAAAACAGGUGAGUCUAUGUGUAUUAGGGUUUUAAAAGUAUUUUAACUGAUUUAAAAAUCUAAAGCAUCAAAGAACAUUCAGUGGGAUUAUUUAACCUAUUGGGUUGGUGCCAUUCACCAAACACAAUACAGUAAACAUUGCUGGAAAACAACAGGAUUAAGUCUAGAAUUUGUUAAAGAUAAGCUUAGUGAGGGCUCAUGACUAUCACAUUAUCCCCCCCCCCCCAUGUUUGCAAAUUCAAAGUAUGGUCAUGCCAUCAGGUCUGAGAGAGAAGAGAGAUUUAAGACCUGUGGGUUAGGGUCUAAUGUAAAAAUGUAUACAGGCAUUGCAAGAUCCAGCUAAAUCAAAGAAGACUAGCAGAUCAACUAUCUCUUGCAUCUAGCUUCUCUACAGUGAUGUCUUUCCUCAGGAUUCCUGACAUUCUGCCAGAGGCAUGGGACAGUGGCAGGAGGUAUUGACUUUUUGAGAUUGAAAAGGACUUGUGUUUAGUCUCAAUGGGGCUAGAGAGAUGUGAAAUCCAAGAUCACGGCUAAUCAGAGAGAGUAAGUGAGUGAUGUGGCUUUAAGGGAGUAGUGAAAAGUUGUAUGAAUAUUUAAGGGGUUCAGUCAUAAAAUCCACAGAAGUCGGUGACUGGAGAAUAAGGAGUGAGGAAUAAAUGAUUAUAUGUAAUGUCUGAUUUGGGCCACUGAAUAUGUAGUAUUUCAAUUUAUAAUGGUAGACGUUACGAAGAGACUAAAAGGUUUUGAGAAUAAAUGGAAACAAUUACUACGCUACUGUUGAAGCUGGACUCCAGCAGAAUGCAGUAAGUAGGUAGAUACGUGGGUCUGACCUCAGGGGCGGGCAGGAUGGGAAAUUUCACCAGCAUCCAAUGGGCUGAGUAGAAUUCUCCAGGGUGAGGUGGAGAAUGAGGAGAGUGACAGAGGUCUAGGACAAAACUCUUUAGAGAUAAGGAAGAUGAAAUGGGUACAAGGCUACUAAGAAGAAAUGAGAGAAAUGUAACUAAGCAUUAUUAAAUAGUGGUAUGGUGCUACUACUAUGCUAAGUGAGAUUUAUAUGAAGUAUUUUAGAAAUCUUCACAACUACACUAUGAAAGUAGAUGCAUGAGGAAUAAAGGUGAUACAAAGGAGUUGGAAGCAAGAAAUAAAUAUCAAGAGAGCAUAACAUAUCAUAUGUACAAUACAAGGAUGAAAAAAAAAUUAAAAAGCAGAACACCAGGAGGUAGAGGAGGUUGACAGAGCCCAGAGUGCAAUGAAAGUCAACACCUAAAGGCAUAACACAAAUAACAGUGUAUAGGGAUAAAGUCUCUGGGAUUUGUUAAUGCUUUCUUUGCUUAUCUGUGAGUACAGGAUGGUAGAGUUCCAAAGUAUUGAAAUAUUUAUGAAUGAAGUGGCUCAAUAAAGAAAAUAGGGCUUUGACUCAGAAUCUAUAAAAAGAGUUGGUAAUCAACAAAUAAUAUAAAUGAUAGAAUAGUUCAAUCCCUGCCCAUCCCCAGAGUGAUUAUUAAGUUAGACAUGUGUAGAAUAUUUUAAAAUUAUAUGUUUUUGGUGGGAGAUGGAAACAAUUGAAUACAUGAACUUGAAUAAACUUUUUUUUUUCAAAACAAAGGACUAAAUAUUAUAAAGGUGGAUAGAGGUAUAGAUCUGGGAACCACACUGCAUAUUUGCUAGCUAAUAAGUCAUUAACUUUUCUUGUCUCACUUUUCUGUCUGUAAAAUGGAAAUAAUAAUCACCUACUUCAUA